UCUUGUAAAGUCUGUUGUUCCUUUCUUGCCAUAUAGUGUAGAUCAUGACUGUAAGAGCCAGAUUACAGAUCAUGAUUCUAGGGUUUCUAUUAACCCAAUGCUGACUAGCCCAACUGACAAAUUGGGGCCAAUUAUCACUUCCUGUGUAACAUAUGCAUCUAUCUUGUAUGAAUCUCCAUAUUGGCGCAGUGACAUCACAAUCAAAGAAUAGGUGAGAGUGUGAUUCCGGUUUGGAAGAGCAUAGGAGACAUAAUUUGGGCUCAAAUUUUUGACAUGAUCUUGCUAUCCAAGGUUGGCAAUCGAUUCUGUAUAGCAAUCCAAAGUAUCAUCUUUUGCCUUGGUAUGGAAAUUGAAUCCCAUAUCAGGUGUGACCAGUGAGCAACUAAGGGUUCAGGAGGGAGUGCACAUAGUGUAUGUUGAGUGAGUAAUCUCCCCUAGGACCUGCACUCCAAAUGAUUUUGUCUGGUGUUGAAAUGACCGGAGAUGGAAGCAAUGAGAGCUCAGGGAUGAUAAAGUUACCUGCUGUGGAAAUACUCAAUUUGUGUGUUGGAUGUAGGAUCAUACUUUAGUGGUGAGUGUGUAACCCAUUGCACGCAUUGUACUUUCAGUAAACUGAUCCAUCAAAGGACCGCCAUUGAGCCAGUAAUCAGUCCAGAAAUACGUGUUCUCAUCAUUCAUCACCUUGUGUUUUAUCAUCUUCCUAUCAAGAGGCCUGAGCUGUAAAAUUUCCUCCAACUCGAUGGGCACACUUGUGGAAUUUUCUUUGUCCGGAAAUUGCAGUCAUUGAAGAGAUACGAGAAACAGCUGGAGAACAUCUGUUGAUUCAUGGAUCCACAUUUGGAUUCGCCCACUCCUGAAACUUUGCAAGUCAAAUCAUCUGAUGAAAAAUAAGUUACAGAAACCGGUUUUUUGGUCUCAUUGUCUGAGGCGGGCUCUUUCCUUGGGGGCAAAAAGAUAUGGUGCAAGAGGGGCUUUAUGGACCACCUAUUGUCCCCAUCAUCAAAGGAUUUGAAUAAAUGAUUUGAGUAACUACAGGCUGAUGUUCUGAAGGCAACACUUGCAAUGGAUGCAGGGAUCACGGUAAACAGUUACCGCAUGAAGGGAAGAGGUUCAAAUUCGCUUGGACCAAAUGGGGCGGACCAUAUUCUUAUUCAUCAUGUUGAAUUGCACUAGUUUUAGGGGUGUACAUAUGAUUGUGCAUGGUAUCAGGAUCAAGUUGUGACAAUAGUCUCAUAUGCUUAUCGGUAAUGGAUGUGAUUUGCUGAGGUGAUUGCUAAUCAUCUCGUGGACUUUUUGUGGGACCAAGAUUUAGUGGUGACACGUUGAACCGGAGAAAUGAGCCAUCCAUUCAAGUUUGGGCUGUCUGAAUUUUUUCUUAAAAGACGCUUUAGUUUGAUCCCAAUGUCAGGAAAAAUCCAUAGGAAUGCUAGAGGAGUUCAUUUUUAUUUAUUUAUUAUUAUUUUUUUUUUUUUCAGUUUGUAGUUUUAUCCUUUUGUUCAGCAGAGAAGACAAACUGAUUUUGGAGGAAAAUUCUGGUGCAAAACUUAUUGAGAUGAUCACAUUGUUAUGUUGGGGAACUUUUGCAAUGAUAAUUUCGGUCUAUUUUCUGUCUUUUUUAAGUCCUUGCCUAGCAAAAUGAUGUGGUAUAAAAUAAAAUAUCAACUUUGUACCUUUGAAUUUCACCCAAAUGAUAACGGGUUCAAAUAAAUAAAAAAAACGUAAUUACCAAUACACGAUAUACGUGAUGGUAAGCACGUAUAAUGGCCUUGUCAUGGUGGUUGGUUUGGGGCCUAAGCAAAUUGCGUUCAACAUUCUAUAAAUUUUAUACUAGUCUGUGUCCUAUAUAGUGCCUUACCUUUAUACUGUCGGUCUCAGACCCGGGUAAAGGAGGAGGGUUACAUAAGGUAGCUUGACAACCAUUGUAAAUUCUUUGCACCAGUGUAAAAAUGAAUCCUAAGAGUAGAAAUGGAAAAAUAGGAUUCACGUAGUCAAUUCUAAGCAAUUGGGAAAUUUGUUGUUUGCUAUUGUUGUUAUAUUAAAUUUUUAAACUUUAUAAUACAAAAAUUCUUAUUUGAAUUUUGUUUUUUGUUUUACUUUUUGUUAUUAAGGAAACGUGUAUCCCCCUAAUACUGUCUUUUUCAUGUAUGCAGACUAUGGCAAGAUCAAAUCUAUGAUAUAUGUCAUUUAGACCUUCUAGUUAUCUGUUUUGCACAUUGGGGGAUUGUCAAUACUCCUGGGAGUGGAUAUGUUCUGCUACAUCACGUGAUGGGACAAAUUAAGGUGAUUGUGGGAUUUGGUUGUAUGUAACGUAGUUGCGGACUUGAUGUUUAGUAUUUUUGUUUUAUAAUGUACAUCACUGAAUUAGCUGCCUGUUAAAUGCCGGUAUUUGGGGAGAAUAUAUAGGGAUCUUU